rnacentral:lncRNA from 1 species
CCAGCCUGGGCGACAGAGCAAGACACUCUCUCUCAAAAAAAAAAAAAAAAAAAAAUUUCUGGUUUAUUUUCUCUGAAUCGUGAGGUUGUAUUAGAGAUCAGGACCCUUCACCCUUAACUACUUUAGCAUGGGAUAUACACAUGUAUUUUUGAAAAAUAUGAAUUCAUACUGUUUUCCAUUCAAAUGUUAAGAUUAUAAGGGUUUUUAAAUAUUCUUUGAUUUUACCUCUUAAGCUGAAAAUCUUGGUUCAUUACAACAUUAACAUUAUUUGCUUUAUUCUACAUAUAAAUGCAUAUAAUCAUUUCAAAAUAAGCCUGGGCAACAUAGUAAGACCCCACCUCUACCAAAAAAGGUAUUGUUAACAAUGACUACUGGUCAAAGUUUUUUUCUGCUAGCUUUUUUAGACCUUUCCCUUUGAAGAUACAAAGUUAAAAUAUGAUGUAAUUGGAUUAACUACUCUGCGCUUCUGUCACCAACUUGAUACACAAGUCCAUUUGUUUAAAUUCUAGAAAUUGUUAUAAUUUGUUUUGCGAAUACAAAUCAUUUGACUGGCUUUCUUGUCAGAACUGUAAAACCAGGCACAUUUGCUCCACACAGGCCUCUAGCACAGCUACCGAGUGCUCCGGUAAGCUCGCCGUGGGUUAGCUCGCCGUGGAUUAGCUCACCGUGGGUUAGCUCGCCGUGGAUUAGCUCGCCGUGGGUUAGCUCGCCGUGGGUUAGCUCGCCGUGGGUAAGCUCGCCGUGGGUUAGCUCGCCGUGGGUUAGCUCGCCGUGGGUUAGCUCGCCGUGGGUAAGCUCGCCGUGGGUUAGCUCGCCGUGGGUUAGCUCGCCGUGGGUUAGCUCGCCGUGGGUAAGCUGGCCGUGGGUUAGCUCGCCGUGGGUUAGCUGGCCGUGGGUUAGCUGGCCGUGGGUAAGCUGGCCGUGGGUUAGCUGGCCGUGGGUUAGCUGGCCGUGGGUUAGCUCGCCGUGGGUUAGCUGGCCGUGGGUUAGCUCGCCGUGGGUUAGCUCGCCGUGGGUUAGCUGGCGGUGGGUUAGCUCGCCGUGGGUUAGCUCGCCGUGGGUUAGCUCGCCGUGGAUUAGCUCACCGUGAGUUAGCCAGCAGAUCCCCUCAUGCUGGGCCUUGGGUUGUUUCCAGUCUUUGGCCAAUCAAAUGUCAGAGUUGGACCCAGCACCUCCGUUGGGACUGCAGAGUGCUUGUCUUCUAAGUCUGGUUAGAAGGGCAUUUCCACAUCCUUGUGGAUUCUGGCCAUCGUAUCUUAAGGAUACAUUUCUGGAAGUGGGAUUGCCAGUCGGCGGGGAGAGGCUCAUCUGGCUUGUCUGGGUGUUGUCCCUGUCCCCAAGGGGCCAGGCGUUCUGCAUCCCCACAGCAUUGUAGGAAGUCCCUGCCCCCCUCAGCAGCCGAAUCUGGUGUCAAAUUUGGAUUUGGGUCAAUCUUGUAGGUGAGAAAUGGAGUCUUGGGGUGGUUUUGGUUUGCAUUUCUCUCUCUCUUUUUUUUUUUUAAUCAUUUUCUUGAUUUUCCAAACUCAUGAGCUCGUUUGAAUAAGGAAUAUUAAUCCUAAUAUUUCUCAUUUUAAGUUAUAAUUUUUAUUGAGGUAAAAUAUACAUAAAACAACAUUUUUAUCAGAGUCCUAUAGAUGGUUAAAAAAAUUCACCAUUUUAACCAUCUCUUAAAGUCUACAAUUUAGCAGCAUUUAAUACAUUCAUAACGUACAACCAUCACUUCUGUGUGCUUCCAAAGCCUUCAUCACGCCAGAAGGAGACCCCGCGCCCGUUCAACACCAUCCCCCCACCCUCAGUCCCCGACAGUCACUGCCCUGCUUCCCACUCAAGUCACCGACACUUUGAAAAUGUGCUAUGUUAUAAAACUUUUUUCCCAGUAUACAUUUUGUCUUUUAUCACUCCUGGGUUUUAAGUCAUAUUUAAGAAGAUUUUGCCCACUCCCCGGUGAUGAAGGAAUUCACUUUUUCCUAGUACUUUUGACCCAUUUGGAAUUUGUCUUAGUGUAUGGUAUGAAGUGCAGAUUCAUUUUCGUCUUUCUCCAAGUGGUUAACGUUUAACCACUUGUAUUAACAAGUCCAUCCUUUCCUCACCGGUAUCAUAUGCUACCUUAUAGACUGAAUGUUCUAGGCACUGGGGUCUGUCCCCGGGUUUUCAUGUCCCUGGGCCUGCUUGCCUACAUGGGUCCUGGUGUCAUGUGGUUCCAUUACGGAGGCCAGGAGAUGGUUCGGGGGCAGAGGACCUCUCCAUUUCUUUUGCAGAGUUUUCCUGGCUAUUUUUACACUCCUGUGCACUUCCUCUCUCACAUGAACUUUAUAAUUAGUUUUCUAGAUCUGGGGAAAAGCAUGCGGCGUUUUUAUAAGGAUUACAUUACAUUUAUAAAUUUACUUUUGUAGAAUUGUCUUGCUUAGGAGAGUUUUCUUAUCCAGGAACAUGGUCUUUCUUUCUGUCUUAAUUCAUUUUCUGUUGCUAUGACUGAAUACCACAGAGUGGGUAAGUUAUAAAGAAAAGAAUUUUAUUUCUUACAGUUCUGGAGGCAGGGAGUCCAAGGUAUAGGAGUUGCAUCUGGUGAGGACCUUCUUGCUGGUCAAGACUCUGCAGUCUCAAGUGGUGCCGGGCAUUAUGUGAGGGUCUCAUGAGAGACGGCAAAGCUGGCUUUUAUAACCAGCCCCCUGGUGAUAACUGCUCCACUCCCUGAGAACCCAUUAGUCCAUGAAUGGAUUAGUCCUCAUGAGCCAAUCACCUCCCCAGAAUCCCAUCCCAGCACUGCUGCAUUGGAGUCCAGGUUUCCAACACAUGAACUUUUGGGGAAUUCAUUCAAACCAUGGUGGUGUUAAAAUCGACUUUGGUGUCUUUAUGGUCUAUUUAAAGUUUUUCCCAUUUAGGGUUUCACAUUUCUUUUACGCAUGGGGAUUUUUAUCUUUUUGUUGCUGUUAAAAAUGGGUCAUCUCUUCCACUCUGUCUUUGAACUGAAAGUAUGCACAAAGAUCUCUGUGUGCUACUUUAAAUCCUGCUGUUUCUCUGAAUUCUCUUAGUGUUUGUAACAUCACUUUCUUGUGCUGGAAAUAUAACAAAGUAUUUGAUCCAAGAAGCAUCUGGCAGGAAGCCUGGGCAGGAGGGGCACCUUGAGCAUGGGCUUCCUCCUCCCCUUUCCUCUGUCUCUUCUCCUACCGGCUGCUUUCCUUCUCUCCCAUCUGCUGUCCACCAGGCAGGCGUUGCCAGACCACCCCAGAGGUCCCCUCUUCAUGUUUCUUGAGGCUGCGUGGGGGGAGGGCAUGAUAGAGGGAGGCAGGGCUUCGAAGGAGGCACUCGGGGGAGGGGGGGGCGAGGAGAGGAUGGGGCAUGCGAGGGGGCCUUGUCCUCCAGCUUUGUCAGAAGCCUAAUGUGCCCUGUGGCCUGAGCUGGCAUCAGACAGGCUUUAAGAGGAGAAUGUCAGCUGGGUGCGGUGGCUCACACCUGUAAUUCUAGCACUUUGGGAGGCCGAGGUGGGUGGAUCCCUUGAGGUCAGGAGUUCGAGACCAGCCUGGCCAACAUGGCAAAACCCCAUCUCUAUGAAAAAUAGAAAAAUUAGCCAGGCGUGGUGGCAGGCGCCUGUAAUUCCAGCUACUCAGGAGGCUGAGGCACAAGAAUCACUUGAACCCGGGAGGCAGAGGUUGCAAUGAGCCAAGACUGCGCCACUGCACUCCAGCCUGGGCGACAGAGUGAGGUCCUAAAAAGGGAAGAAUAUCGCUGCAUCAGAAAGCAGGAAGGUGGGGCCUGCCCGGGGCCAUGGCCCUGCAAUGAGUUUGGCCCAGAGGCACAGACAGACAGGAGACCAAAGUGAAAUGAAUGAAAAUGGACUGGACCCGAUCGGAGGACUGAGGAGAGCCAGGCCUCAGGGCACCUGGCAUUUGUUCCCUGGAUGGAUCAGGGGAACUGAGGAGAGCCGGGCCGCAGGGCACCCUGGCGUUUGUUCUCUGGGCGGAUCAGGGGAACCGAGGAGAGCCGGGCCGCAGGGCACCCUGGCGUUUGUUCCCUGGAUGGAUCAGGGGAACCGAGGAGAGCCGGGCCGCAGGGCACCCUGGCGUUUGUUCCCAGGGUAGGGGAGCUCUAGCAUGGCACACAGUAGCAGAAGAUAGCAGGUUGUGGUCGGCCCAUGUAGAGAUUUUAGAAACAUCUCACACUUCAUGAGAUCUUAGAAACAUCUCACACUUCAGGUUCAGUCACCCGUGUCCAGUGUCCACAGGAAGGCCUGUGCAAGGCCUCAUGGGAAACAGGGUGGUCCACCAGGCCUGCCCUCAAGGGGGCCCCGUCCCGGAGAAGCAGAUGCACAAAGCUGAGGGACACAGGUCGUGGGCCUUCUUGUGUGGCUCCUUGGCCACGGCACCGCAGCACCUGAGAGCCACCGCUGGAGAGGCAAACGAGCCCUGCAGCAGGCCCGAACCAGAGUUCCUGGGCACGGCCGCGUGCACCCAGUCGGGAGCUUCCCUGCUAAGGGUCAGCGAAGGCUUGGGGUGCUGGCAUUAGGGCUGGGUCCUGAGGGAAGAUGAGGGAGAGAAGUAUAGGAGGAGGAGGGAGUUGAAGGCUGCAGACAGGAGGAGGAAGGGGAGGGAGUAGGGCUGCCAGGGGAGGGGUGGAGGGCUGGAUAAGGAGGAGGGCUACAAAGAAAAGAGUAGAGCUGCAGGGAAGGAGGGUGGAGGGCUGCAGCGGGAGGAGGAGAGGGAGGAAGGCUGCAAGGGGAGGAGGAGAGGGAUGUAGGAGGAGGGUAGUGGAGGGCUGCAGAGGAGGAGGAAGAGGAGAAUAGGGAGGACAAAUCCACUCUAGCAGGGGAACGAAAGCAGCAUGGGGCAGACAAAUCCACUCUAGCAUUCCAAUCUCCCUAAGCCUUUGAAUCCCUUCUUCUACACUAACCAUGGGCGGCCAGGCAUGUCCAGUUAUCCCAUGGUGGGCCAUGUUUUGGCCCAUGUUUCAGCCAAGCAGCCAACCAACCAAUUAGAGCCCUUUCUAAAUGCGGAAUCUCUGCUUAGUGAGCCCGUAUCAAUAAACUUGGCCUGAUCUAACUCUGUGUUCCUCCUACCAUUCUCCCAGGCCCUCAAUAUGCAUUCCCACGGUCCUGGGAUUUCUAUGUAAACUGGAAAACUCACGUUCUCUUUGACACCGUGAGGCUGGGAGUUCCACAUGUGCUAUAAUCCAGCCACUGGAAGGGCGAGAUUCUGGGUUUGAUUUUCAGUAGUCUCAGACCCGCAGCUAAAGGAGGUAAGAGUCUCUCUUGGGACAGUCAUAACUUUCAGAUUAUUCAUGUGACACUUCAGCUGGGAAUCUGAAUCCUGAGCUCACUCCCAUGAUACUUUUUCUGAGAUGGAGUCUCACUCUGUAGCCCAGGCUGGAAUGCAGUGGGGCAAUCCCAGCUCACUGCAACCUCUGCCUCCCAGGUGCAAGUAAUUCUCCUGCCUCAGCCUCCCGAGUAGCUGGGAUUACAGGUGCCUGCCACCACACUUGGCUAAUUUCUGUAUUUUUAGAAGAGUUGGGGUUUUGCCAUGUUGGCCAAGGUGGUCUUGAACUCCUGACCUCAGGUGAUCUGCCCGCCUCAGGCCUCCCAAAGUGCUGGGAUUAUAGGCGUGAGCCACCACACACGGCUUUUUUUUUUUGAGACAGGGUCUCACUGUGUUACCCAGGCCGGAGUACAGUGGUACAAUCACAGCUAACUGCAGCGUCAACCUCUCAGAUUCAACCAAUCCUCCCACCUCAGCCUCCAGAGUAGCUGGAACCACAGGUGCAGGCCACCGUGCUUGACUAAUUUUAUUUUUUAGAGAUGGGAUCUUGUUAUGUUGCCUAGGCUGGUCUUGAACUCCUGGCCUCAAGCCAUCCUCCUGCCUCCCAAAGUGCUGGGAUGACAGGUGUGAGCUACUGGUCCUGGCCCAUUAUACUCUAGUUUGAUGAAAGUGUUCAAAAGCCACCGAGAACCCUGCCUUCUGCAAGUAUUUAAUUAGGAGCACCCAGUGGUGAUACUAUGCAUACCUCUAUUGCCACAUCACACUAUGGACUAUCGGUGUUCUUUUUACUACUGGAAAUCAGCAUUAGUGCCUUUACAUCUAAUCAGGAUAAAGACCCAAUUCCAGGAACCCUCCCAUCCCCACCCUCUCGCCACUCCCCACCCUCAAUUAUUUUCAAGCAAACCCUCCGCACCUCUUACCAUGUUGUGUAUAGGUAGAAGCUAUUUAACACACACACAGUGACAUUCUGUCUAAAAUGACAACGAUCGUUUGGAGAAGUUUAUUACCACCCCUACCCUCCAGUGGGAUCUCAAUGUCACGAUGA